UGCCUAAACCUUAUUGAUAUAAGGCAUGGCGCAAAAACCCAGUAAGAGAUAUUGAGCUCGUCACCAGGGUACUCUUACUGGGUCAUAACUCGAAAGAGUUAUGGGUAGCCGAAAGGUUAUC
rnacentral:sRNA from 1 species